rnacentral:misc_RNA from 1 species
AAGUCGUAACAAGGUUUCCGUAGGUGAACCUGCGGAAGGAUCAUUACAUCAUGUUACUAAGGGUUAGGUAGGUGACGUGCCUUGGCGCUCACUUAUUGAACCCUUAUCUACAUCCACCCUUGAAUUUCUAUGUACUACCGUUUCCUCGGCGGGCUCGCCCGUCUAGAGGACAUUUCUUAAACCCUUGUAUUAGUCGUCAGCGUCAGAAAACUAAAAUAAUUACAACUUUCAACAACGGAUCUCUUGGUUCUG